UUGUUUUCAAACAAAUAAUUUUCCCGUGUAUUUUUCCAUUAAGAAAUGUUUUAAUUUAAAUUAUCAGUAAAUACGAAUUAUUUUAGACUUUUUAACAUUUAUUUAGUAUUAUAGAAAAUCUUGGCUUAAAAUAGGUGUACAAUACUUAUAUGGUUAUGGGCUUUGUUCCAGAAUGUAAACAUUACAAUGAAAAGAAAACUUGUUCUUUUUUUCGUUUCCCAAAAGACCCAGUUCUUCUAAAGAAGUGGAGGUAUACCGAAGUGGAGAUCACUUGUGAGACUUGGAGACAGGAAUCCAAGUCCAUCUUCUUUGAUUUGUUCAUGUCAUUUUAGUAAUGGCUCUGGUAAUGGGGACAAAAAAUAUGCCAACGUUAUUUGAACAUAAUGAAAACAAGCUAUUUUUGUUCCAAUCUCCAGAGAAAAAGAAGAAAAGGGUAGUAGUGUCAGCAAAUCUGUAAGUGAUAGAACUCAAAGCCUUGUAUAUAUCUAUAACCUCUCUCAGACAUUUGAUGAAAAUAUACCUAUAGACUGUGAACAACUCGGUUCUGAAAAACAACAACCGUCAACGAGUUUUGAAUAAAAUGCUUCUCCAUAUUAAAUUCAAUACCUCAGAAUUUACUUCGUCAAGCCACAAAGAUAUUCCAAAUCUGUGGUGCUCUGACAAAUUUGCAAUUCCCAUUAAUUUCUGAAGUAGAACACUUGUAUAGAAUAGAGUAACUUAUUUUAAUGACAAAAAUUUUAUUGUUUAUACACAGGUAUUGUAUAUAAAAGAUUUGUUUACUACUUAUUUUUUAUCAUAUUCAUUUUAUGAUUAUGAUCUUUGCUUUGUGUAUAUUAUUUUUCUGUUAUUUUUC
rnacentral:lncRNA from 1 species